UGUAGAUUUUGUAAUUGGCUUAUGGUGGUGAAUUUUUAUGUAUUUUCUUCUUUAGUUUUUAUUACUAUGUUUCAUGGUAUUUUACCAACAUUUGUAUGCAGAUCUUAUGCUUGCAGGGAUCACCAGAUGGACCUGAACAAUAUGUUGCAAUCAUGAAUGCAAUAUUCUCUGCCCAACGCUCUGAGGUUCCUAUAGAUUCUUGUUACAUAGGUGCACAGAAUUCAGCCUUUCUGCAACAGGCUUCUUACAUAAUUGUUGGUGUACAUCAUAAGCCACAAAAUUU